rnacentral:rRNA from 1 species
UACGAAGGGGGCUAGCGUUGCUCGGAAUCACUGGGCGUAAAGGGUGCGUAGGCGGGUUUUUAAGUCAGGGGUGAAAUCCUGGAGCUCAACUCCAGAACUGCCUUUGAUACUGAAGAUCUUGAGUCCGGGAGAGGUGAGUGGAACUGCGAGUGUAGAGGUGAAAUUCGUAGAUAUUCGCAAGAACACCAGUGGCGAAGGCGGCUCACUGGCCCGGUACUGACGCUGAGAUGCGAAAGCGUGGGGAGCAAACAGG